GACGAACGCUGGCGGCGUGCUUAACACAUGCAAGUCGAGCGGUAAGGCCCUUUCGGGGGUACACGAGCGGCGAACGGGUGAGUAACACGUGGGUGACCUGCCCUCAGCUCUGGGAUAAGCCUGGGAAACCGGGUCUAAUACCGGAUAUGACUCCAUGACGCAUGUUGUGGGGUGGAAAGCCUUGUGCGGCUGAGGAUGGGCCCGCGGCCUAUCAGCUUGUUGGUGGGGUGANGGCCUACCAAGGCGACGACGGGUAGCCGGCCUGAGAGGGCGACCGGCCACACUGGGACUGAGACACGGCCCAGACUCCUACGGGAGGCAGCAGUAGGAAUAUUGCGCAAUGGGCGAAAGCCUGACGCAGCGACGCCGCGUGGGGAUGAAGGUC
rnacentral:rRNA from 1 species